rnacentral:misc_RNA from 1 species
AACAUCGCGCACCUGCGGGAACCUGCGGAAGGAUCAUUACACAAUACAAUAUGAAGGCUGUCCGCAGCUGGAGUAUUUUAUUACCCUUGUCUUUUGCGCACUUGUUGUUUCCUGGGCGGGUUCGCUCGCCACCAGGACCACCAAAUAAACCUUUUUUAUGCAGUUGCAAUCAGCGUCAGUACAAACAAUGUAAAUCAUUUACAACUUUUAACAAUGGAUCU